rnacentral:rRNA from 1 species
GGGGACAACGGGAAGCCGGCCUGAAAGGGGGACCGGCCACACUGGGACUGAAACCCGGCCCAAAUUCCUACGGGAGGCAGCAGGGGGAAAUAUGGCACAAGGGGCGCAAGCCUGAUGCAGCGCCCCCCCGGGAGGAAUGACGGCCUUCGGUUUGAAAACCUCUUUCAGAAGGGAAAAAGCAAAAGUGACGGAACCUGCAAAAGAAGCGCCGGUUAACUACUGGCCAGCAGCCGGGGUAAUACGAAGGGGGCAAGCGUUUUCCGGAAUUUUUGGGCGUAAAAAGCUCGAAGGCGGUUUGUCCCCGCUUCCCCGUGAAAGUCCGGGGCUCAACCUCCGAAUUUGCGGGGGGUUCGGGCGAAUUAAAGGGAUGUAGGGGAGACUGGGAAUUCCCUGGGGAACCGGUGAAAAGGCCAAAUUAUCAGGAAGGAACACCGAUGGGGCAAAGGGAGGUCCUCUGGGGCAUUACCUGACCC